rnacentral:rRNA from 1 species
GACGAACGCUGGCGGCGUGCUUAACACAUGCAAGUCGAACGGAAAGGCCUGCUUUCCCUUGUGGAUUGCGGGUACUCGAGUGGCGAACGGGUGAGUAACACGUGAGUGAUCUGCCCCCAACUUGGGUAUAAGCCUGGGAAACUGGGUCUAAUUCCCGAUAGGACUGCAGGGUGGUGCCUGUGGUGGAAAACGAUUUUCUAGUGGUUGGGGAUGAGCUCGCGGCCUAUCAGCUUGUUGGUGGGGUAAUGGCCUACCAAGGCGGCGACGGGUAGCCGGCCUGGGAAGGUGGACGGCCACAUUGGGACUGAGAUACGGCCCAGACUCCUACGGGAGGCAGCAGUGGGGAAUAUUGCACAAUGGGCGGAAGCCUGAUGCAGCGACGCCGCGUGGGGGAUGACGGCCUUCGGGUUGUAAACUCCUUUCGACCGCGAGGAAGCCACCUGGUUGGAAGGGUGGUGACGGUAGUGGUAGAAGAAGCACCGGCUAACUACGUG